AUUGCUCGUGACUCAUCAUCGAUUUGGUGCCAGGCAUCGGCCCCUGCUGACCACAUGCAUCGGCCAUAAGCUGAUGACACACAAGAGAUUGGAACCUCGACUAGGACGAUGUUGUCGGGCACUUAUUGGUCUCAUUCUAUUUCACCCUAGUCUUCUGUGUGCCAUCCUCUAGUUCGGAUGCUAUGGGACCUUCCUGGCUCGC
rnacentral:lncRNA from 1 species